rnacentral:rRNA from 1 species
UACGUAGGGUGCGAGCGUUAAUCGGAAUUACUGGGCGUAAAGCGUGCGCAGGCGGUUUUGUAAGCCGGAUGUGAAAUCCCCGGGCUUAACCUGGGAAUGGCAUUCGGGACUGCAAGGCUGGAGUGCGGCAGAGGAGACUGGAAUUCCUGGUGUAGCAGUGAAAUGCGUAGAUAUCAGGAGGGACACCGAUGGCGAAGGCAGGUCUCUGGGCUGACACUGACGCUCAUGCACGAAAGCGUGGGGAGCAAACAGG